ACAGAGCUACCAUGAGGCUCUGAUCUGGCCUAAGAAAAAAGGGGCAAGACAGUACACUCACUGCACUCAUGGGACUAAGAGGGAACAUUCCCCUUGCAGCACACAUCAAGUCCUCCCAAGUACAGGGUCGCCAUGCUGACAGGCCACCAGCUGGCAACAGCACUGAGCAGCUGGAGGAAGAGUGGUGGGGAAAACGGCACUACCCUGCUUACAGGGUGGUCGUGGGGUUCAGUGAGCUCCAUUUCCCACUCAGGUGCAGAGAGGUGGCUCUCUCCCUCCUUACAGGGGACCACACACCCCAGGCAGCCGAAGGAGCACCAAGGCAAAAGGUCAACUACAGCAAAGACCUGAGCCCUGCUUACAGGGAGGUCACCCAGCACAUAUCAGACCUGGCCACCCAAGGUGCUGGCAACAUUCCCUUGCAGUAUGACUAAGCCCUGCAGCUCCUGAAAAUGAAAGUCACCAUCAGGCCUGAGCAGCACCAAGUCGCCCACCUGCAGCAAACCAGGAACACAGCAACCUGAGGGAGCUCCACACACAGCCAUGCAGCCAAGAAUGAGUUCACCCAUCCCUGCUGCGCCAUCACCGUCUGCCCCCGAUGUCGUGGGCCAGCAGAAUAAAGCACCCAACAAAGCCAGAGGAUGUGUGACCGAUGGACUAACGAGAAAGGGGCGUCGAGGAUCUGAGUAUUAUGGGCUUAAUUCCCCCGGUAUCAUCUAUGCAGGCACCAAAUCUUGACUAUUUUUCCACAUAUUUGUUUUCAUUUGUUUUUAACAGAUAAGUUGCUCAUAAUACGCAUUUAUCACAUCUCUCUAUAUUUUAUUAUCCAAGAAAGAAAAAGCAGAUGAUUCGUUGUUUGGAAGACGUAAAUGUAUUUACACUUUGAGGAGCUGUGUUGUCAGCCUCUGAAACACAAGCAAAUUUUGGCUCAGCAAGGAACACCCAAUGCCCAUUGGCUUCUGCAGCAAGGAGGGAGGGAACUGCACCUCCAGGGUGAAAUGCCUGCUCUAGCAGAUUGCCUCCAUUCAAGGGAAGAUCAAAGGCAAACACGUUUCCUUCUGUGUCCUGAAGUGUUUCUUCCUUUGUGUCAUCCAGUGAAAAAACAACUGAGUUGACCUUUGAAUUUUUUUUUUACCUCUGAUAAAGUUUAAGAUUUGCUGUAUGAAAGUACAUGCAAUGUGUUGCUUUUAAUACCAGAUGCUUUAAUCCUCAUUUGAGGCAUUCUGUGUAAUACUUUCUGCCUUCAGGCCCAUCCGGAUUUGUACUUCAGGAAGUUGUCUAAUGCAGAGUUUUGCAUCAAAGGGAAUGUAAAGAAACAUACAGGAAAAAUCCUGCAAUUUCAAUAAAACAAUAAUGACC
ensembl:lncRNA